rnacentral:tRNA from 1 species
AAGGAUUUAAGUUAAGCUAAACUCACAACCUUCAAAGUUGUUUAUAGACCUCUCGUCUAAGCCUUA